rnacentral:misc_RNA from 1 species
GAAAUGCGAUAAGUAAUGUGAAUUGCAGAAUUCAGUGAAUCAUCGAAUCUUUGAACGCACAUUGCGCCCCCUGGUAUUCCGGGGGGCAUGCCUGUUCGAGCGUCAUUUCACCACUCAAGCCUCUCUUGGUAUUGGGCAACGCGGUCCGCCGCGUGCCUCAAAUCGACCGGCUGGGUCUUCUGUCCCCUAAGCGUUGUGGAAACUAUUCGCUAAAGGGUGCUCGGGAGGCUACGCCGUAAAACAAACCCAUUUCUAAGGUUGACCUCGGAUCAGGUAGGGAUACCCGCUGAACUUAAGC